UAAAGUGGCGAACGGCUGAGUAACACGUGGGCAACCUGCCCUUUGCACUGGGAUAGCCUCGGGAAACCGAGGUUAAUACCGGACACUCCAUAUUUGUCGCAUGGCGAAUAUGGGAAAGCUCCGGCGGCAAAGGAUGGGCCCGCGGCCUGUUAGCUAGUUGGUGGGGUAGUGGCCUACCAAGGCAAUGAUGGGUAGCCGGGUUGAGAGACCGACCGGCCAGAUUGGGACUGAGACACGGCCCAGACUCCUACGGGAGGCAGCAGAG
rnacentral:rRNA from 1 species